GUAUCCCUGCGCGCGGCGGGCCGGGCUGGGCAGCUUUAUAAACAGCCGUGGUGUGAGCCUCGAAGGGAACCAUCAGCGCCUCCUGUCCACGGAGCUCCAGGUCUACAAUGGCAGCGGCCGCCAGCCCCGCGUUCCUUCUGUGCCUCCCGCUUCUGCACCUGCUGUCUGGCUGGUCCCGGGCAGGAUGGGUCGGUGAGUUCGGGGAUGUAGCCUAAGCAGGGCGGGGGCCAAACCUGGGAGGUUGUGGACUGCAGCGGGUUUCAGAGGAGGGGAGGCUUCUGGAAGGACCGGCGCGAUCUCCCUGAACGAACAUCGCGGUCUCCCCGAACGUCGCGGUCCCUCCGAACGUCGCGGUCUCCCCGAACAUCGCGGUGCCCCCGAACAUCGCUGUCUCCCCGAACAUCGCGAUCUCCCCGAACAUCGUGAUCUCCCCAGACAUGCCCAGCUGAAGGCACUCAGUUCCCCUCGGUGGCUCCUUUCCGCCGGGUCCGCUUCCUGCGGCUGCUGCUUGCCCCUCAGGCCAGGAGGUUUCUGGAAGGACCGGUGCUGUCUCCCCGAACAUCGUGGUCUCCCCGAACAUCGCGGCCUCUCCGAACAUCGCCCUCUCUCCGAGCAACGCGAUCUCCCCGAACAUCGCGGUCUCCCCGAAAAUCGCGAUCUCCCCGAACAUUGCCAUCUCACCGAACAUCGCGAUCUCGCCGAACAUGCCCGGCUGAAGGCACUCAGUUCCCCUCCGCGGCUCCUUUCCGCCGGGUCUGAUUCCUGCGGCUGCUGCUUGCCCCGCAGGCCAGGAGGCUUCUGGUAGCACCGGCGCGAUGCCCCCGAACAUCGCGUUCUACCCCAACAUCGCGAUCCCUCCGAACAUCGUGAUCCCCCCCGAACAUCGCCGUCCCCCCGAGUAACGCGGUCUCCCCGAACAUCGCGGUCCCCCCGAACAUCGCGGUACCCCCGAACAUCGCCGUCUCCCCGUACAUUGCGAUCCCCCGAAACAUUGCGAUCUCCCCGAACAUCGCGAUCUCGCCGAACAUGCCCGGCUGAAGGCACUCAGUUCCCCUCCGCGGCUCCUUUCCUCCGGGUCCGCUUCCUGCGGCUGCUGCUUGCCCCAUAGGCCAGGAGGCUUCUGGGUGGACCAGCGCGAUCUCCCCGAAUAUCGCGGUCUACCCGAACAUCGCGGCCUCCCCGAACAUCGCGGUCUCCCCGAACAUCGCGAUCCCCCAGAACAUCGCGGCCUCCCCGAACAUCGCGGUCUCCCCGAACAUCGCGAUCCCCCAGAACAUCGCGGUCUACCCGAACAUCGCGGCCUCCCCGAACAUCGCGGUCUCCCCGAACAUCGCGAUCCCCCAGAACAUCGCGGUCUCCCCGAACAUCGCUGUCUCCCCGAACGUGCCUGGCUGAAGGCACUCAGUUCCCCUCCGGGGCUCCUUUCCGCCGAGUCCGCUUCCUGCAGCUGCUGCUAGCACCGCAGUCCAGGGGGAGUGUCAAAGAAGGCUGAAAAGGAAUUGCAGGAGGGUGGAGGGACCAAAAGGCUACAGAGGGCAAGACACACACUGUCUUUGCUAUGACUUCAUCAUCACUCCUAAGUCCAGACCUGAACCACAGUGGUGUGAAGUUCAAGGCCUGGUGGAUGAAAGGCCUUUUCUUCACUAUGACUGUGUUAACCACAAGGCCAAAGCCUUUGCUUCUCUGGGGAAGAAAGUCAAUGUCACAAAAACCUGGGAAGAACAAACUGAAACACUAAGAGACGUGGUGGAUUUCCUUAAAGGGCAACUGCUUGACAUUCAAGUGGAGAAUUUAAUACCCAUUGAGCCCCUCACCCUGCAGGCCAGGAUGUCUUGUGAGCAUGAAGCCCAUGGACACGGCAGAGGAUCUUGGCAGUUCCUCUUCAAUGGACAGAAGUUCCUCCUCUUUGACUCAAACAACAGAAAGUGGACAGCACUUCAUCCUGGAGCCAAGAAGAUGACAGAGAAGUGGGAGAAGAACAGGGAUGUGACCAUGUUCUUCCAGAAGAUUUCACUGGGGGAUUGUAAGAUGUGGCUUGAAGAAUUUUUGAUGUACUGGGAACAAAUGCUGGAUCCAACAAAACCACCCUCUCUGGCCCCAGGCACAACCCAACCCAAGGCCAUGGCCACCACCCUCAGUCCCUGGAGCCUUCUCAUCAUCUUCCUCUGCUUCAUUCUAGCUGGCAGAUGAGGAGAGUUGUUUAGAGUGACAGGUGGAAAGUGAUAUCAAGAAGCCUCUGUUAGCCUGGUCUGGGUCCUGCUCUCCCUUCAGGGAGGCCGCCUGUCUACUCACCACUGUGCCUUUCUGGAAAGCAGGAGUUCAAGCCUUAGCAAGCCCAGAGGCCCCCAGCAGACGAUGAGGACAUUGUCGGCUCAACAUCUCAGGCCACUCAUUACCUUCGCUCAUGAUCCCAGCAGCCAUUUUUCUUAACACCUUCUGCCACUUUCUGUCGGUGCUAAUGGAUGGAACUCCUGCACAAGUUUUAACUGAACAAGAAAUCCCAGCAAAAGGCAUUUUUUUUUCUACUUCUUUGAUUGUAGAAAAGCAGACACUUCUCUGAAACAUGACCUUAUUCUUCCAAACAGUAUCGCUAGUAAAAUAGCAUGCUGGACUUCAGACCUCAGGGAUCCUUUUGAUGCACUGACCAGGAAUUGUGAUAAUCCUUUUCAUUUUUAUGGCUUUUUACAGUUUCUCAUUCUGUCAACCAUAUUGAAGUGAAGUGGCAUAGUCUUCACUCACUGUAAUCUCCAGCUCCUGGGCUCAAGUGAUCCUCUAGACUCAGCCUCUAGAAUAGCUGGGACUACAGGCACAUGCCACCAGGACUGGCAAACUGUUUUAUUUUUAGGUAGAGGUAGGGUCUUCCUAUGUUGCCCAGGAUGGUCUUCAAAUCUUGGUCUCGAGCAAUGCUACCACCUUGGCCUCCCAAUGCUCUGGGAUUACAGACAUGAACCACAGUGCCUGUUGUAGAAAUUUUUAAUUAUUUAAUAUGAAAAUAUUACAUUCAUGAUUAUUUUAUUUAGUAAAUAAAAUAAUAGAGAGCCCAGAAAUCAACCUGCACACCUACCGCCAUCUAAUCUUCAAUAGAAAUGGGCAAUGUGGGAAAGACUCCCUAUUCGAAAAUUAGUGCUGGAAUAUCUGGCCAACCAUAUGCAGAAGAAUGAAACUGAACCCCUACUUCUCCCCAUAUAUGUAAAAUAAUUCAAUAUGGAUGAAAGAUUUAAAUAUAAGUACUAAAACUGUAAAAAUCCUGGAAUAUAACCUAAGAAAUACCAAUGUGGACAUAGGGCCUGGCAAAGAUUUCAUGAAGAAGACACUAAAAACAAUUGCAACAAAAACAGAAAUUGACAAAUGGGGCCUCAUUAAACUAAAGAGCUUCUGCACAGAAAAAGAAACUAGCAACACAGUAAACAGACAGCCUGUAGAAUGGGGAAAACUAUUUGCAAACUCUGCAUCUGAUGAAGGUCCAAUAUCCAGAAUCUACAAGGAACUUAAACAAUUCAACAAGCAAGAAGAAAAAACCCAAUUAAAAUUGGGCAAAGGCAUGAACAGACACUUUUCAAAAGAAGACCUACAAUUGGCCAACAAACAUGAAAAAAUGCUCAGUAUCACUAAUCAUCAGAUAAGUGCAAAUCAAAACUGCAAUGAGUUACCAUCUCUUACCAGUCACAAAGUCAGAGAUGGUGGUGAGGCUGCAGAGCAAAAGAAACAGACACUGUUGGUGGGAAAGCAAACUUGUUCAGCCACUAUGGAAAGCAGUUUGGAGAUUUCUCCAAGAACUUAAAAUAGAACUACCAUUCAAUCCCGCAAUCCCACUACUCGGGAUAUACCCACAGGAAAAGAAUUCAUUUUAUCAAAAAGACACCUGCACCAAUAUGUUCAUUACAGUGCUAUUCUCACCAGCAAGGACAGAGAAUCAAUCUAAGUGCCCAACAACAGUAAAUUCAAUGAAAAAAAAUGUGGUACAUAGAUACGAUGGAAAACUAUGCAGCCAUGAAACACAAGAAAAUCAUGUCCUUUUCAGCAACAUGGAUGCAACUAGAGGCUAUUAUCCUAAGCAACCUAAUGCAAGAACAGAAAACCACAUACUGCAUCUUCCCAUUGGAAAGUGGCAGCUAAACAUUAAAUUCGCAUGAACCACAGAUGCUGGAGAUCACCAGACCGGGGAGAGAAGAGGGGCACCUGGGCUGAAAAACACACCUGUUGGGUAUCAUGCUUACUGUCUGGGCGAUGGGAUCAUUGGGACACCAAGCCUCAGCUUCUCAAAUUCUACCCAUGUAACAAACCUGUAUAUGUACCUUGUAUUAUAUAGGUUGAAAUUAAAGAUGAAUAAAUAAAAUAAAAUGACACAAGGCCAAAAACAAAUGGGUUUAACUGACCAGAGCGAGAGAACUCUGCACUAUGAACCCAAACCCAGCUCAAAAAGAUAAAAUCUAGUCAUUUAAGAUAAUCAUAAGUUGUAUGAUGAUAAUUGUAUAAAAAUUUGUAUGAUGAUAAUUGUAUAAUAAUUAUACAUGAAAGUGCCAAAACCCUACAAUUAAACACUGUAUAAUGGAAUUACA